rnacentral:rRNA from 1 species
UACAGAGGGUGCAAGCGUUGUUCGGAAUUAUUGGGCGUAAAGGGCGCGUAGGCGGCGCGGUAAGUCCGCAGUGAAAUCUCUGGGCUCAACUCAGAGUCUGCUGUGGAAACUGCCGUGCUAGAGUGUGGGAGAGGUGAGUGGAAUUCCCGGUGUAGCGGUGAAAUGCGCAGAUAUCAGGAAGAACACCCGUGGCGAAGGCGGCUCUCUGGGACGGUACUGACGCUGAGACGCGAAAGCGUGGGGAGCGAACAGG